rnacentral:rRNA from 1 species
AGAGCGAACGCUGGCGGCAGGCCUAACACAUGCAAGUCGAGCGCCCGUAGCAAUACGGGAGCGGCAGACGGGAUAGUAACACGUGGGAACGCGCCCUUCGGUUCGGAAUAACUCAGGGAAACUUGAGCUAAUACCGAAUACGCCCUUACGGGGAAAGAUUUAUUGCCGAAGGAACGGCCCGCGUCCGAUUAGCUAGUUGGUGAGGUAAUGGCUCACCAAGGCUACGAUCGGUAGCUGGUCUGAGAGGAUGACCAGCAUCACUGGGACUGAGACACGGCCCAGACUCCUACGGGAGGCAGCAGUGGGGAAUAUUGGACAAUGGGCGCAAGCCUGAUCCAGCCAUGCCGCGUGGAUGAUGAAGGCCUUAGGGUGUAAAGUCCUUUUAACGGGGAAGAUAAUGACGGUACCGUAGAAUAAGCCCCGGCUAACUCGUGCCAGCAGCCGC